CAUGCUAAAAACCCCAACUUCGGAAGGGGUGUAUUUAUUAGAUAAAAAACCAAUGCCCUUCGGGGCUCCUUGGUGAUUCAUGAUAACUUCUCAGAUCGCAUGGCUUUACGCCGGCGACGGUUCAUUCAAAUUUCUGCCCUAUCAACUUUCGAUGGUAAGGUAUUGGCUUACCAUGGUUUCAACGGGUAACGGGGAAUUAGGGUUCGAUUCCGGAGAGGGAGCCUGAGAAACGGCUACCACAUCCAAGGAAGGCAGCAGGCGCGCAAAUUACCCAAUUCCGAUACGGAGAGGUAGUGACAAUAAAUACUGAUACAGGGCUCUUUUGGGUCUUGUAAUUGGAAUGAGUACAAUUUAAACCUCUUAACGAGGAACAAUUGGAGGGCAAGUCUGGUGCCAGCAGCCGCGGUAAUUCCAGCUCCAAUAGCGUAUAUUAAAGUUGUUGCAGUUAAAAAGCUCGUAGUUGAACCUUUGGCCUGGCUGGCAGGUCCGCCUCACCGCGUGCACUUGUCCGGCCGGGCCUUUUCUUCUGGAGAACCGCAUGCCCUUCACUGGGUGUGUUGGGGACCAGGACUUUUACUUUGAAAAAAUUAGAGUGUUCAAAGCAGGCCUUUGCUCGAAUACGUUAGCAUGGAAUAAUAGAAUAGGACGUGCGGUCCUAUUUUGUUGGUUUCUAGGACCGCCGUAAUGAUUAAUAGGGACAGUCGGGGGCAUCAGUAUUCAAUUGUCAGAGGUGAAAUUCUUGGAUUUAUUGAAGACUAACUACUGCGAAAGCAUUUGCCAAGGAUGUUUUCAUUAAUCAGUGAACGAAAGUUAGGGGAUCGAAGACGAUCAGAUACCGUCGUAGUCUUAACCAUAAACUAUGCCGACUAGGGAUCGGGCGGUGUUUCUAUUGUGACCCGCUCGGCACCUUACGAGAAAUCAAAGUG
rnacentral:rRNA from 1 species